UGCAUAAUUUGAUAUUUGAUGUCUACACAUUAUACAUGUGACCAUUUAUGCUUAUGUAACGAGUUAAAGUAAAUACAAUUUGAAUGUUACACAUUGCUUUUCACUAAAAUCCUUCAAAUGUAUUUUAUAUUUAUUUAUUCCCGUUUUCUUUGAGUAAUAUGUUGAUUCUACUGUUCACUAUUUAGAGACUUUUAUUUUGACAUUUUCUUCUGGCGCUUUGCUGACGCCAUUUUCGAGUGACUGCGCGCCUCUCGCCAGUUCACAUUGGUUAUGCUGGGGAGAGGUUUGUCUUAUGAAACACCCACAAGAGAGAGAUAUGAACUUUAUUCAUAUUAAUCAACAGAUGGAGUGAAGUUAAUGCUGGCUCUGGCUGACAUUAAAUCCCUUUUUGGUGAACGACAUCAGAAGUGUCCUGAGUCUUCUUACACACAACGCAGAUAGUGGUAACGGCGGUCAGCAGAGGACCGGU